rnacentral:tRNA from 1 species
GCGCCCGUAGCUCAAUAGGAUAGAGCGUCAGACUACGGAUCUGGAGGUUAUGGGUUCGACUCCUUUCGGGCGCGCCA